GGCUGUUCCGGGUGGGACGGAGGACACUGGCGGUCUCCGGGACAAAGACAGCGGUUGGGGAAGGGACAGCUGGCCGGGCCUCCAGGCGUCUCCAGACUGGGGAAGGGGAACCCUCUGGACCUCUCCCAGUAUUGAACUCCUGGCAGGCUGUUUGGCCACCAGGUGGUGGGAGGUAGGGAGAUUGCGUCCGUCUUCACAAUCUGGGCUUCUUCCUUAUUUAGUGUGCCAGGGUGGUCAGAGAUGGUCCUCGGCUUCCUCAGGCUGGACGUCCGGGCAGCAGGUGGCCCUGGGCACAGCCUCACUGUCCAGUUUGGAGAGUAGCCGGGCUGUCUCCUGGGUGAUCUCAAAAUGCUUGGGCAGCGGGGUGCGGCGCAGGGGGCUGCCCUCAGGGGAGGCAGCUGCAGGGCUAGGCCCCCGCC